rnacentral:rRNA from 1 species
CACUCCUGCGGGAGGCAGCAGUGGGGAAUUUUGGACAAUGGGCGAAAGCCUGAUCCAGCAAUGCCGCGUGUGUGAAGAAGGCCUUCGGGUUGUAAAGCACUUUUGUCCGGAAAGAAAUCCUUGGCUCUAAUACAGUCGAGGGAUGACGGUACCGGAAGAAUAAGCACCGGCUAACUACGUGCCAGCAGCCGCGGUAAUACGUAGGGUGCGAGCGUUAAUCGGAAUUACUGGGCGUAAAGCGUGCGCAGGCGGUUUGCUAAGACCGAUGUGAAAUCCCCGGGCUCAACCUGGGAACUGCAUUGGUGACUGGCAGGCUAGAGUAUGGCAGAGGGGGGUAGAAUUCCACGUGUAGCAGUGAAAUGCGUAGAGAUGUGGAGGAAUACCGAUGGCGAAGGCAGCCCCCUGGGCCAAUACUGACGCUCAUGCACGAAAGCGUGGGGAGCAAACAGGAUUAGAUACCCCGGUAGUCCCAUGAU